GUUAAUAGUAAAAUCUGGGAAUUAGAGGUCACAAGGAAAGCAGAGCGGUGAUGUCACGCAGGGCUUGGAAACCAGCCAUGGGGGCAUAGCCCUGAAUUUCAGGUAAGUUUGUGCUUGUUCAGGAGUGUCUAGGUUAGUCACAUUUAUGGGUAAGUACUAUCUUUCAGGUUAAUGGAGUACUGGAAUGCCUAGUGAAUAUACAUUCCUGCAGAUAGUUACAUCUCUUCACUUCACC